rnacentral:rRNA from 1 species
AAAGCUAUACAAAUAGGAUAUUCCCGAAAAUAAAAGAUCUAUAAACAAUAUCGGUGUUGGGGUGAAUUUUCAGUGUACUGUUGCAUUAGUACAUAAAAAAUAUGUUUCUAGGGGUGAAAGACCUUCACUUUUAUAGAUAUCUGGAUAAAUAUUAAAUAAAUUUAGUUUAAGGCAUAAUUACAGUGUGAUAAGAUGGUGUAAAAAGAAUUUCUAGUAAAGAUAUAGUAGCCUUUAAUUAUUCCUUAACGGCACUUUAUUUAUAACAAUAAUACAACUACUUUUUAAAUUCAAAAAUAAUAUUUUAUUAGUAUAUUAUUAAUAUUAUAAUUAAUAAUGUAUAGAUUAGUAAGUAUAAAAAUUUAAUUGAAGGAAUUCGGCAACUAACUUAUACGACUGUUUAACAAAAACAUAGCCAGUAGAUAUUUCAUUAUUGGUGUGACCUGCCCAGUGAACUUUAAACGGCCGCAGUACCCUGACUGUGCAAAGGUAGCAUAAUCAUUUGGCUUUUAAUUGGAGUCUGGAAUGAAAGGAAAAACGUAUAAAAACUGUCUCUACAUCAAAUUUAUCUAAAUUACUCAAUAAGGUGAAAAUUCCUUAAGUGUAAUAAAAGACGAGAAGACCCUUAGAAUUUUAAGAAAACCCAAUAUCAUACAUGGAGUGAUUUUUGUUGGGGCAACAUUUUUUCAUAAAAUAAAAAAUAAUUUAUAUUACAAAACGAAUAUGUAUAAUAAAGUUUAAAUUACCUAAGGGAUAACAGCAUAAUUUUAAAAAAAGAUUGUGACCUCGAUGUUGGACUAGGAACUAUUAAGGCUAAUCGUUUUAAUAUAAUAGGUUCUGUUCGAACUUUAUUUCCUA